rnacentral:lncRNA from 1 species
AUUGUUCCCUGGCAGGGUGGGCAGGCCCUGGCACAGGGUGCCCAGAGCAGCUGGGGCUGCCCCUGGAUCCCUGGCAGUGCCCAAGGCCAGGCUGGACAUUGGGGCUGGAGCAGCCUGGGACAGUGGGAGGUGUCCCUGCCAUGGCUGGGCUUGGCAAUGAAUGUUCUUUAAAAAGGUCUUUUCAACCUGAACCAGUCUGAUUUUUAUGGUCUUACAUAUCUGAUAUCUAUAUAAUAUGUAUCAUAUAAUAAUCUCCUGCUCUCCUGCAGGUGCUGCUGCCUUCAAGAGAGUUACUGGAAGCUUGGGACCCUUGCAGUGCCAGGAAAAGGUGGUGACCAGAGAUGCUGCUGCUGCAGACAGGUUCUUGCUGCAGUGGAUGCUGCUGGGAACACAGUGCUCUGCAGGUGUAAAAUACCCACCUCACCCUAAAGGAUGGAAGUUUGGUGAGAGAGAAAGAGCAAGUGGGAUCCCUUGGAUCACUCAGAAUGUGGGAUUUCCAAGUGAGGGAAGGAGAGAAUCCCUGUGAAGAAAAGAGAUCGCAGAGAAAGUGUCACAGCCAGAGCAGGGUGAGGAGAGAGUUCCACAAACUUCAGUGAGUCGGAGGCUGUGGCACCAUGGAUAUCCCAGAGAGGAGAGCCAGGACCUUGAGGGACCUCAAACCUGAUUUAACAAACUGCUCAUUCUAGUUGCGAAUUUAAAUUCUCAAGGACUAGGAAGAAAAGCUCAGGAAAUGGGGAAACAAACCUUCCCUUUGUCAGCUGCCAGUUUAACCUGGCAGGAGCGGGAGCUGGGCUGAUGCUCUGCCAGGGUGAACCGGGAUCCCGGGGCUCCCGGGGGCCGCUCGGAGCUGCCGUGACCUGCAUUU